GACGAACGCUGGCGGCGUGCUUAACACAUGCAAGUCGAACGGAAAGGCCCUGCUUUUGUGGGGUGCUCGAGUGGCGAACGGGUGAGUAACACGUGAGUAACCUGCCCUUGACUUUGGGAUAACUUCAGGAAACUGGGGCUAAUACCGGAUAGGAGCUCCUGCUGCAUGGUGGGGGUUGGAAAGUUUCGGCGGUUGGGGAUGGACUCGCGGCUUAUCAGCUUGUUGGUGGGGUAGUGGCUUACCAAGGCUUUGACGGGUAGCCGGCCUGAGAGGGUGACCGGCCACAUUGGGACAGAGAUACGGCCCAGACUGCUACGGGAGGCAGCAGUGGGGAAUAUUGCACAAUGGGCGGAAGCCUGAUGCAGCAACGCCGCGUGCGGGAUGACGGCCUUCGGGUUGUAAACCGCUUUCGCCUGUGACGAAGCGUGAGUGACGGUAAUGGGUAAAGAAGCACCGGCUAACUACGUG
rnacentral:rRNA from 1 species